UGGGGAAUCUUGCGCAAUGGACGAAAGUCUGACGCAGCGACGCCGCGUGGGUGAUGAAGGCCUUCGGGUUGUAAAGCCCUGUGGGUGAGGACGAAUAAGUGCAAUUUAACAAAUUGCAUGAUGACGGUACUCACUUAGCAAGCACCGGCUAACUCUGUGCCAGCAGCCGCGGUAAGACAGAGGGUGCGAACGUUGCUCGGAAUUACUGGGCGUAAAGCGUGUGUAGGCGGCCACGCAAGUCGGAUGUGAAAGCCCUGGGCUCAACCCAGGAAGUGCACCCGAUACUGCGACGGCUUGAGUACCGGAGAGGUUGGUGGAAUUCUCGGUGUAGAGGUGAAAUUCGUAGAUAUCGAGAGGAACACCGGUGGCGAAGGCGGCCAACUGGACGAGUACUGACGCUGAGACACGAAAGCGUGGGGAGCAAACAGGAUUAGAUACCCCCGUAGUCC
rnacentral:rRNA from 1 species